AAAGUUGAAAAGAACUUUGAAGAGAGAGUUCAAGAGUACGUGAAACCGUUCAGGGGUAAACCUGAGAAACCCAAAAGAUCGAAUGAGGAGAUUCAUCGUCAGCACAUAUUGUAUAUAUAUAAGUUGUGAUAUGGGUUACUUUAUACUUUUUUAGGUAUAAUAGUAUAGCCUGUACAUUCUUGUAUAUUUAUUUGCAAGAUGUUGUCGGCGUGCACUUCUCCUCUAGUAGGACAUCGCGACCCGUUGAAUAAUAAUUUACGGCCCAAGUGAUAGAUUUCAAUGAAUUUUUACGAAUUUAUUGAAAAUCCUUGGUGUUUCCUAAUUAUAAUUCGUCGGUAUUCAUAUGGUAUUAAGCCGCAUAAUUUAAUAUGCGUCUAUAUCCUACACAAGCGAGGUUAAUUAUUGAUAUAACGGACUUAGUGCCGUCGUCAAUAUUAAUCAGCUGUUAGUUGUUGGGAAUUCUAAGACAGGCUUAAAAAUUAAAUACCGGUCAGCGAUGCUAUUGCUUUGGGUACUUUCAGGACCCGUCUUGAAACACGGACCAAGGAGUCUAACAUGUACGCGAGUCAUUGGGAUUUUAUAUUAAAUUAAACCUAAAGGCGUAAUGAAAGUAAAGGUUAAUCUUGUAUUAACUAAGGGAGGAUAAACUAUGUUACGAUAUAGUUUCGCACUCCUGGGGCGUUUCAUUCUCAUUGCGAGAAGAGGCGCACCUAGAGCGUACACGUU
rnacentral:rRNA from 1 species